GGUCUCACAUGAGAGACCCUUGCGCUCAGCCUCCACAUCACCCGGGGUCAUCUUCUCCGUACGGCCAUCUCUGCAAAAGAACACACGAGAAGAAAAACUAACAGAAUACAACAGAUGACAGCCAGUAAAUAUUUAGCAAGAAUAUUAAAAGGGGGAAAUCUAGGACGCCGAUGAAAAGCCCCAAACAUCUCCGAUAUAUAUAGAUGUGGGCGAGGGUCGAGUGAGAUUAAAGUUUUGUUUGAAUAUUUGAGAAAUUUAUUUUGUUUUUGUUUUAAAAAAAAAAAGCAGUAUAAGAUUCACAUUUUUUUUUGUGAAAAAAAAAAAGGAAAGGAGCGAAGUUACCUGAUUUUUGGAAAGGUGACCUUUGUUGGCUAGAUCUGGCCCUUAUCCGCACCACUGGCCAUCAAACUGACGGAUGUUCAUGGCUGCGUGAUGAAAUGAACCCACACAGAGCAAGGGUUCUGUUUUUUUUGGCAUCUUCUUU